ACUACACUUGAUCUUAGCCAAAAGGCCGAGAAAGGUAUGCUUUGCUCAACGUCUCCGUUUUUCUUUUGUAGCCAGGGUUCCCUUCCAGCUGCUCUUCUUCUUUCGGUGUGGGACUAAAAAACCUUCCGGGCAUCAAACCAUUUUGUCUCGAGGCAUUCCCAAGGCCUAGAAAGCCUUUGCCAAGGAUCGCUUGCUUUCAUUAACUGGGGGAUUGGACGCUCAAACUGGUGCAGGCGUAGCCAACGUGGCGAAAGAAUGCCGCGAGUCAGUCCUGUGUUGCGCAAGUGUCGCAAAGCUCUUCAAGAUUCGGACGUGCUCAAAGUCUUGCAGUCGGAGAUCACACACGAGCUCUCCUCUAAUCGCUUUCAGAAUAAUCAAAGUGGUUCCCUGGGGGAUUUUUUGGUGGAAUGGGACUCAUCAAAAUCUCAAGAUGUGGUUUUGCGGAGAAAAUGUGAGUUGGGGGAAGAGGUUGUUGUUUCGGCUGUUCUGGGUCCAGUUACAUAUGGAAGAGAUGGUGUGUUUCCAAGGGAGGUUUUGAUGAAAGUAUGUUUGAAAAAGCCUGGCCUGAGCCCAAUCUUGCAGUUUGAUUGUGGAGUUUCUGACAGAGGUAAUACUGGGUCUGAGUUUGACAUCCAUAAUGCCUGCUAUAUCCAAUCAUCAGCUCGUGUGGAUUCUUCAGCCUACAGAGGCCCGUUGUUUAGCUCUUUGGACCCUCAACUACAAGAUGCACUCAAGGAGUAUCUAGUAUCCAAGGGAAUUGGAGAAAACCUCACCAACUUCCUCUUGCUCCACCUACAUAAGAAAGAGCAAGGUCAAUACGUGAACUGGUUACACAAACUCGAAUCCUUGGUGGCAAAGGGCGAGUGAAAAAACUAUGGAAGGUUUAAAUCACACAUGCAGGGCUUCAUUCUUUCCCAUUGAUACCCGCCCCAUCUUGGUCAAAAGAUGAGGAGCGCCACAUUCCAGCUCAUUCAGCCAAUCACACUCUAUACAAGUAAAGCCACAGCUAGACAUCAACUAAUGCAGCGUGGAACUAAAGGAAAGCAUAGGCAGGGCAGGCUUCCUCACAAUAAUCCAAAUUCAUUCUCAACAAAGACAGACUGAUUUUUCUCAUUAUGAUUGAUACUGAUUUUAUUCAUUAAAAUUGAUAUGUAUUUUUCUUUUAUUUUCAGCUUACAAACCUGUAUAUAUUGGGAUGUAUAGCUCACUGUAAUGUAUUCAUUCAGAGAUAAUACAAGUCUAAUAUUAUUUCA